GACGAACGCUGGCGGCGUGCCUAAUACAUGCAAGUUGAGCGCUGAAGGUUGGUACUUGUACCGACUGGAUGAGCAGCGAACGGGUGAGUAACGCGUGGGGAAUCUGCCUUUGAGCGGGGGACAACAUUUGGAAACGAAUGCUAAUACCGCAUAAAAACUUUAAACACAAGUUUUAAGUUUGAAAGAUGCAAUUGCAUCACUCAAAGAUGAUCCCGCGUUGUAUUAGCUAGUUGGUGAGGUAAAGGCUCACCAAGGCGAUGAUACAUAGCCGACCUGAGAGGGUGAUCGGCCACAUUGGGACUGAGACACGGCCCAAACUCCUACGGGAGGCAGCAGUAGGGAAUCUUCGGCAAUGGACGAAAGUCUGACCGAGCAACGCCGCGUGAGUGAAGAAGGUUUUCGGAUCGUAAAACUCUGUUGGUAGAGAAGAACGUUGGUGAGAGUGGAAAGCUCAUCAAGUGACGGUAACUACCCAGAAAAGGACGGCGAACUACGU
rnacentral:rRNA from 1 species